rnacentral:misc_RNA from 1 species
AUAUGCAAUGGUGUCCGAG